ACAGAGGGUGCGAGCGUUGUCCGGAAUCACUGGGCGUAAAGGGCGCGUAGGUGGCCCCGCAAGUCAAUGGUGAAAGCUCGAUGCUUAACAUCGAGUCGGCCACUGAUACUGUGGGGCUGGAGCACUGUAGAGGCUCAUGGAAUUCCGGGUGUAGCGGUGGAAUGCGUAGAGAUCCGGAAGAACACCGGUGGCGAAGGCGGUGAGCUGGGCCAACACUGACGCUGAUGCGCGAAAGCCAGGGGAGCAAACGGGA
rnacentral:rRNA from 1 species